AGAAUCAACGCUGGCGGCGUGCCUAACACAUGCAAGUCGCACGAGAAAGGGUAGCAAUACCUGAGUAAAGUGGCGCACGGGUGAGUAACACGUGAAUAAUCUACCUCCGAGUGGGGAAUAACUGAGAGAAAUCUUAGCUAAUACCGCAUAACACUUACGAGUCAAAGCAGUAAUGCGCUUGGAGAGGAGUUCGCGGCAGAUUAGCUAGUUGGCGGGGUAAUGGCCCACCAAGGCGAUGAUCUGUAUCCGGCCUGAGAGGGCGCGACGGACGACGACUGGAACUGAAACACGGUCCAGACUCCUACGGGAGGCAGCAGUGGGGAAUUUUGCGCAAUGGGGGAAACCCUGACGCAGCAACGCCGCGUGGAGGAUGAAUCCCUUGGGAUGUAAACUCCUUUCGAUAGGGAAGAUAAUGACGGUACCUAUAGAAGAAGCCCGGCUAACUUCGUGCCAGCAGCCGC
rnacentral:rRNA from 1 species